rnacentral:lncRNA from 1 species
GACAACCCAGUUUUUGGCAGUUGCACUUCGCCCUGGGCUGGGCGUCAAGCCCUAUAAAGAGGUGCUCUGCUGCACGACUGUCAUCCUCCUGGUACUCGAGUCCCGACCUCCUUUGGAGAACGUGCUCCGAAGACUCCAGAAAGAUGUCUUCUCAACAGCAGCAGUGCAAGCAGCCCUGCCAGCCCCCUCCUGUGUGCCCACCUAAGUGCCCAGAGCCGUGCCCGCCCCCAAAAUGCCCUGAGCCGUGCCCACCCCCACAGAGGCAGCAGAAAUGCCCUCCUGUGCAACCUCCUCCACCAUGCCAGCAGAAGUGCCCGCCCAAGAGCAAGUAACAGCUUCAGCAGCAUCAGGAUCUGGAAAAGAGAAGGACCAUUGGCUCGCCUGCUUCCACAGCUCCACCUUCACCUUCUCUUCCGAGCCUAUCAUGGUGGCAGAAGCGGCUCCUCCACCCUUCAGCCUGGAAAAUGCCUGUGUGACCCCUGACAGCAAAAGGGUUCCUUCCUGAGGCUGUCACACUGCUCCUCUCCGGGAGGGAGCUGAGGAAGGGCAUCCUCAGCUGUGCCAGCAUCCCAGAGCUUCAGGAGGAAGAGCAGCAGCUCUCUUCCUGGGUGCCAGCAGGGGAGGCUCUUGAUGUCUUCUGUGUCUGUCUGUCCCCUGGGCAGGGGUUUGUAUCACCUGGCAAUUGUUCCUUUUCUUCCAUUUCCUGAAUAAAGUGCCAUUUUGUGGGA